UACGGGGGGGGCAAGCGUUGUUCGGAAUUACUGGGCGUAAAGGGCGCGUAGGCGGCCUUCUAAGUCGGACGUGAAAUCCCUCGGCUUAACCGAGGAACUGCGUCCGAGACUGAAAGGCUUGAAUCCGGGAGAGGGAUGUGGAAUUCCUGGUGUAGCGGUGAAAUGCGCAGAUAUCAGGAGGAACACCGAUGGCGAAGGCAGGUCUCUGGGCAUUAACUGACGCUGAGGAGCGAAAGCAUGGGGAGCGAACAGG
rnacentral:rRNA from 1 species